UGCCUCGGAGGUGCCUGAUUCCGACAGCCCGCCAGAGGACCCCAAACCCAAACUUCCUUGAGUGAGUCUUCUGAGUAACCGAUUAAAUCAAUCAAAACUUUCAACAACGGAUCUCUUGGUUCUGGCAUCGAUGAAGAACGCAGCGAAAUGCGAUAAGUAAUGUGAAUUGCAGAAUUCAGUGAAUCAUCGAAUCUUUGAACGCACAUUGCGCCCGCCAGUAUUCUGGCGGGCAUGCCUGUUCGAGCGUCAUUACAUCCCUCAAGCCCCCGGGCUUGGUGUUGGGGAUCGGCGAGCCUUAGCGCCCGCCGUCCCCUAAAUUUAGUGGCGGUCACGCUGUAACUUCCUCUGCGUAGUAGCACACUUAGCACUGGGAAACAGCGCGGCCACGCCGUAAAACCCCCCAACUUUUGAACGUUUGACCUCGAAUCAGGUAGGACUACCCGCUGAACUUAAGCAUAUCAAUAAGC
rnacentral:rRNA from 1 species